CAUCCUUGAUCGGGAGGUCCGGGUAAUCUUUUGAAACUUCAUCGUGCUGGGGAUAGUCCCUUGCAAUUUUUGGACUUAAACGAGGAAUUCCUAGUAAGCGUGAGUCAUCAACUCGCGUUGAUUACGUCCCUGCCCUUUGUACACACCGCCCGUCGCUACUACCGAUUGAAUGGCUUAGUGAAUCCUUCGGAUUGGCUAUUUUUUUCUGGCAACAGAAUUAAACUGCUAAAAAGUUGGGCAAACUUGGUCAUUUAGAGGAAGUAAAAGUCGUAACAAGGUUUCCGUAGGUGAACCUGCGGAAGGAUCAUUAAAAAAUAAUCACAGUUUUGUGAUUUUAAUAAUCAUCCUACCCUUUGUGAAUUUGUUUUGUUUGAAAAUUUAUGUUGUCUAUCCCUGGUGGUUUUGGAAAAGUUGAAAAACUUUUUCGAAUCCCAGGGACUAGGCUUUCAUAGACCUUUUUUUAAAUUAAACUUUUUGUAUUCAUUUGUCUAAAUUUAUUUUUAAUAAUUUAAAAACAACUUUUGACAAUGGAUCUCUUGGUUCUCGCAACGAUGAAGAACGCAGCAAAAUGCGAUAAGUAAUGUGAAUUGCAGAAUACGUGAAUCAUCAAAUCUUCGAACGCAUAUUGCAC
rnacentral:rRNA from 1 species